CAAAAGCGUAUAUUAAAGUUGUUGCAGUUAAAAAGCUCGUAGUUGAACCUUGGGCUUGGCUGGACGGUCCAUCUUUUUUGAUGCGUACUGGACCCAGCCGAGCCUUUCCUUCUGGCUAGCCUUUUGGCGAACCAGGACUUUUACUUUGAAAAAAUUAGAGUGUUCAAAGCAGGCCUUUGCUCGAAUAUAUUAGCAUGGAAUAAUAGAAUAGGACGUUAUGGUUCUAUUUUGUUGGUUUCUAGGACCAUCGUAAUGAUUAAUAGGGACGGUCGGGGGUAUCAGUAUUCAGUUGUCAGAGGUGAAAUUCUUGGAUUUACUGAAGACUAACUACUGCGAAAGCAUUUACCAAGGACGUUUUCAUUAA
rnacentral:rRNA from 1 species